AGGUCUGAUCCCAUUUUGAUGCUCUACAGAAAUCACCCUAAUUUUCUUCCUCUGAAGAUCUGACCGGUGUAAAUCCCCAGCUCCUGGAGUCAAGUGGAUGUGAUGAUUUCAGCCUUCAUUCUUAAAGAAAAAUUAAACUUGGCAAAAGAGACCCCCAUUGUACUGUAGUCAGGAAACCAACAGAUGGGAAAACUGAUGCAGAUGUGUGAAGUGACUUGCUACAGUACCAGCACUGGGACUAAAACUCAAGAGUUGCUGUUUCCCAGUCCCUCUUUGGGUUCAGCAGAAGAAGGGGGAGUUUUGCCAUUGACUUCAGGAUUUUACCCCAUCUCUCUCUCUGCCUACCUCACCAUUUACUUUUAAGCGUUUAAGACUCAGUUUCACCCACUCCUAAUUCUCCAUCAUUUCCUGUGCGGAAGCACAUAUGACAAAAGUUCUGAAAUACGAUUUGCAAAACAAUGAGGAUUCCCCCCCCCCCAAAAAAAGUCUAUAGACUUGAUGGAUGAACACAUUAUAAUGUCAAG